CCUGUACUUGGUGUUACUGCGAAGGGGGGACGGAGAAGGCUAUGUUGGCCGGGCGACGGUUGUCCCGGUUUAAGCGUGUAGGCUGGUUUUCCAGGCAAAUCCGGAAAACCAAGGCUGAGGCGUGAUGACGAGGCACUACGGUGCUGAAGUGACAAAUGCCCUGCUUCCAGGAAAAGCCUCUAAGCAUCAGGUAACAUCAAAUCGUACCCCAAACCGACACAGGUGGUCAGGUAGAGAAUACCAAGGCGCUUGAGAGAACUCGGGUGAAGGAACUAGGCAAAAUGGUGCCGUAACUUCGGGAGAAGGCACGCUGAUAUGUAGGUGAAGUCCCUCGCGGAUGGAGCUGAAAUCAGUCGAAGAUACCAGCUGGCUGCAACUGUUUAUUAAAAACACAGCACUGUGCAAACACGAAAGUGGACGUAUACGGUGUGACGCCUGCCCGGUGCCGGAAGGUUAAUUGAUGGGGUUAGCGGUAACGCGAAGCUCUUGAUCGAAGCCCCGGUAAACGGCGGCCGUAACUAUAACGGUCCUAAGGUAGCGAAAUUCCUUGUCGGGUAAGUUCCGACCUGCACGAAUGGCGUAAUGAUGGCCAGGCUGUCUCCACCCGAGACUCAGUGAAAUUGAACUCGCUGUGAAGAUGCAGUGUACCCGCGGCAAGACGGAAAGACCCCGUGAACCUUUACUAUAGCUUGACACUGAACAUUGAGCCUUGAUGUGUAGGAUAGGUGGGAGGCUUUGAAGUGUGGACGCCAGUCUGCAUGGAGCCGACCUUGAAAUACCACCCUUUAAUGUUUGAUGUUCUAACGUUGGCCCGUAAUCCGGGUUGCGGACAGUGUCUGGUGGGUAGUUUGACUGGGGCGGUCUCCUCCUAAAGAGUAACGGAGGAGCACGAAGGUUGGCUAAUCCUGGUCGGACAUCAGGAGGUUAGUGCAAUGGCAUAAGCCAGCUUGACUGCGAGCGUGACGGCGCGAGCAGGUGCGAAAGCAGGUCAUAGUGAUCCGGUGGUUCUGAAUGGAAGGGCCAUCGCUCAACGGAUAAAAGGUACUCCGGGGAUAACAGGCUGAUACCGCCCAAGAGUUCAUAUCGACGGCGGUGUUUGGCACCUCGAUGUCGGCUCAUCACAUCCUGGGGCUGAAGUAGGUCCCAAGGGUAUGGCUGUUCGCCAUUUAAAGUGGUACGCGAGCUGGGUUUAGAACGUCGUGAGACAGUUCGGUCCCUAUCUGCCGUGGGCGCUGGAGAACUGAGGGGGGCUGCUCCUAGUACGAGAGGACCGGAGUGGACGCAUCACUGGUGUUCGGGUUGUCAUGCCAAUGGCACUGCCCGGUAGCUAAAUGCGGAAGAGAUAAGUGCUGAAAGCAUCUAAGCACGAAACUUGCCCCGAGAUGAGUUCUCCCUGAGACUUAGAGUCUCCUGAAGGAACGUUGAAGACGACGACGUUGAUAGGCCGGGUGUGUAAGCGCAGCGAUGCGUUGAGCUAACCGGUACUAAUGAACCGUGAGGCUUAACCUUACAACGCCGAAG
rnacentral:rRNA from 1 species